CUUUGAUAAAAUGUACUUUAUAAGGCCAUUUUACACUACUGACACAACUUUUGCCUAAAACUAUCGCAUGCAACCUGCUUACAACUUCAGUUGUACUCGCCUACGUCGUGGCUGAGAGUUUAGGGAGUUUACGAUCUACGACGCGGCCGGCUCGACGACGCGCUUUCAAAACAAAGAAAUUUGGUGUUUCCACAAACAAUAGUAUGUGUUUUAUCGCCAUGCAUACCUACAAAGAACUUACAAAGAAAUUUGUCAUGCAAGACAAAAACUGUCAAUAAUUUGUGGUCCCAUGAGUAUUGUCAACCGCGUUGUCAUUCUCAACACAACGUUAAAAAAGCAUUACGUCUUUCAGGCAACGCGAAAGCUUAAUGCGACACAAGAGGUGUUACUAAAAGUCGAAAUUACAGCAAACAUUGCAUCGCUUUAGCCGAACGUAGCAUUUUGUAAGGUUAUUUGAAAGAGUCAAAUAUUUAUUACAGUAAUCGAAUUGCUUAUAGCGCUCAUUCUUGAGCUACAAUUUAGACCGCGUCGUUGAGCCGGCCGCGUCGCAGAUCGUAAACUCCCUUUUGAUUUAAACAGUACGACUGAAGUUGUAAGCAGGUUGCAUGCGACAGUUUUAACUGUUUUAGGCAAAAGUUGUAUUAUGUGUAAAUCGGCCUUUACAAAUCUACAGUAACCUGGCCAAACGUAGGGCGACAGGUGUUGUGUUGUAUAUAUCUUAAAACAACAAUUUUCAUUCUGUGAAAAACCUCAACUAAAUCGUAUACGACACAGUGCAACAUGGUGAAAUUUAUUUGAAUGUUAGCUGUUCUAAUUUUUGCGUUGCGUUAAAUCGUUUGGGACACACACUACUGUACAUAUACAUGAAAAUAUAUUUCAACGUUAAUCGUUAUUACUAAAACGUAUCAUUCAAAACUACUUACAUUGUAAUAAUAAAUAAAUAAUCAAUAAAUACUUGCAAUUUAAGAAGAUUAAAGUCCCGUACAGACGAGCAGUCGUUCUUCGCGACGAAGAAGUCAGCGAAGUAAGCCACUGUGCAUCCAAAUGCGUGGUGUCGGUGGGAUAAAUUGCAGUUAAAUUUAAACACGUAGCUGACAAUGAAAGGAUUUAGAAUAACAAAUUAUUCAAUAGACCUUUCUUAUAAUGACGUCAAGCGCGGAAAACAAUUUAGGGUCAAUUUAUGCAUUGUCCUACAGAUCAAUGCAAGUCGUUGGCCAAUAAAUUUCAUAAAAACAUCAUUUGCAUUGUUCCUUGGGACAUCGCAUUAAGUGUUUUUCCGCGUUUGACGUCAUUACAAGAAAGGUCUACAGGGUGUAUCAUAAAAGAGGAGACCUUUAGAGAUUAAUCUAUUGUUGUUAAGCACAAUAUAUUUUGCUCCUGGUAAUUAAAAAUUUAAUUCAAUUGUGUUUUCACUCUCUUGUGUUCAGCGUAGUGCUUAUAUGUACAGUAUAGCAAUCAAAUUAUAACAAUAUAAGGUUAAUUUCUAAAGGUCUCCUUUUUUUUAUUCACCCUGUAUACUGUACAGGGUGUAUAAAAAAAAUAGAUCAUAUUACUGUUGUUGUGCAUUAAAUAAAUGCAUAAAUUUUGCUUUAUGCACUCGCGUGUGCAGUAAUUUUGACAGUUGUGCUAUUUUAAAUUCUCAGGCGCUUAAAAUCUUUUGUCUUUAAAACAAUGUCGAUUUCUUGGGAAAUUCCGAGGCUGCGUUUUUUUUUAUACACCCUGUAGAGCGUUUGCAUUCAUUCCCAGGGCCAGGGACCAACUCAACAAAAGCCAUGGCGGCCAUGUUGGUGUUCCAGACAAAAGAGUCUAAUUAAAAUUCUUUUGAAUUGGAACACCAACAUGGCGGCUGUGACGUCAUGUGCAAACGCUCUAUUGUGGCUAUAAACGAUUGAACAGCUGAGUACUUUGACAUACAAUUUUAAUCAUCCAGUCUCAGCUGCAUUGUUAUGAUCAAUGCAAUUUAUCCCGACGGUAAACGCGUCAUUUGGAUGCGCAAUGGAAACUCUCAAUUGAUUUGGAUCCAAAAUAUCCGUGCAAGAUGAAGUAGUUACCAAUUUCAUAACAAUUUCCGGCUGAAACUGUCUGCGAUAGACAUGCAGAACAAAUAAAACUUCUCAAGUAAUAUGAAAACCUGCUGUACGGCGCUUAACUAUGACAAUUAUAUUUGCUUUAUAAAUCAAGCCAUAGUAUAGUUUAAGACAUGGAUAUAUGUGACUACUGCAUGCUUAUAUAAGGUCCUAAACGUAUAGUAUAUAGGGACUCUAGUAUUACUUUCAUAUAACCUCGGAUUGAUAUCGCGUUUCAAUAAAAUCUGCAAAACGUUGAAAUAUCGCCAUACAUCACACGAGUACAGCAUUGUAGUACCCCUCUCUAGACAUCAUACAAGCCUGUGCAACAUUUGUUUUCCUUUAUUAUUAUGUGUACAAAACUGGCAGCUGGUCAUCAACUUUUUAAUGUUAAAGAGAGUUGUUUGUGUGAUGUGCUUGACUCCUUUGGGAAUUAAAUUCACUUGAUUAGCAGACAUGUGCUAACAUGUAUGAUGUAUGCAUAAACAACCUCAUAAUAAUAAUUCGCGCUUAGAGGUUAAAGAUUCUCUGGACAACCUUAAUUGAAUUAGCUGUAUAUAUAAACAUAUAUCUACAUGUAUGGAGUAAGAACUUCAGUCGUUCGGCCCAUGAGAAACGUGAAGCCAAGAUGGCGGAAACUGACGUCCAAAGUUUAUGAAGGUCGUAAACAGUUAUCAUUCCAUUUUCCCAACUAAUUCCAGUUGUUCCAACGGACCGUUUAGCUAAUCAAGUUAUCAGUUCAUAAAUCCAUAUUAGGAGCUUAACUCAAGCAUGUAGGACGGCAACACGAGGACGACGGCAACCAAUACAACGAGUCAAUGAAAAUAAAUAAAUAAUUAAAGUCCCGGGGGAGUUUCAGACGUAGUCGUCGCUCUGUUUACAAUGGCAAAUCACAGAUUUUCACGUCUUUUAUACAACGCCUGCAUUUCAAGCCGUAACAAGUGCAACUUAAAAUUCGGCUCAGUAGAACUCUUCCCAAACAUAAAGCCAAUGUUUUCAACUUCUUAUACUGUAUUAAAUUGAUACGAAUUAUAAUAUACGACAAGUUUUAUUUACCAUCAUUAAUUUGGAGGAUUUUGUUUUGGCCGUCGUCGUCGUGUUGCCGUCCUACAUGCUUAUUAAGCUCCCUUAUUAUAUGGCAAGACGGUCCAUCUGCAAGACGGUCCAUUAUAACACGUUAAAUGCUGACAGAGUGAUACUUAAUUUAUGCCGCCAUUGAACGGCUGUUUUGGCGGACUAAAAUGAAACUGGAGUAAAAACGUCUCUGUUUUCGACUUUUAAUAUUA
rnacentral:lncRNA from 1 species